rnacentral:rRNA from 1 species
AUUGAACGCUGGCGGCAUGCCUUACACAUGCAAGUCGAACGGCAGCACGGGAGCAAUCCUGGUGGCGAGUGGCGAACGGGUGAGUAAUAUAUCGGAACGUGCCCAGUCGUGGGGAUAACGUAGCGAAAGCUACGCUAAUACCGCAUACGAUCUAUGGAUGAAAGCGGGGGAUCGCAAGACCUCGCGCGAUUGGAGCGGCGAUAUCAGAUUAGGUAGUUGGUGAGGUAAAGGCUCACCAAGCCGACGAUCUGUAGCUGGUCUGAGAGGACGACCAGCCACACUGGGACUGAGACACGGCCAGACUCCUACGGGAGGCAGCAGU